rnacentral:rRNA from 1 species
AUACGUAGGGGGCAAGCGUUGUCCGGAUUUACUGGGUAUAAAGGGAGCGCAGGCGGAUUCGUAAGUCAGGGGUGAAAUCCUACAGCUUAACUGUAGAACUGCCUUUGAUACUGCGAGUCUUGAGAUCGGAAGAGAGAGAUGGAAUUCCAGGUGUAGUGGUGAAAUACGUAGAUAUCUGGAAGAACACCAAUGGCGAAGGCAGUCUCUUGGUCCGUAUCUGACGCUGAGGCUCGAAAGCGUGGGGAGCAAACAUGAUUAGAAACCCCAGUAGUCC